AUUCCGACACGGCGGCACCGUCGUGCUUUGGCGAUGGCACUACCGUUCGUGAUAGUGGUUUGCCUCGGCCUGACCGUUUUUGACCAAUUUUGGCAAGUUUUGACCGGUUUUAUACCCAUCCCUGCAAGAAAACACGUUAGGGGGCCUCGGUUGGCCCAAAAAAGUCAAAAAACGAAAACCUACCGACGAUGGGAUGUUCUGGUGCGGCGGCUCCACCAGCUCAGCUUCGCGGCUGGGCUUUUUCUUUGGUCAACUUGUAGAAAACAGGAUGGUGAACACAACAGUAAAAAAAUUGCAUGAAACAAGAAGGGGAUCAUCGGAGAUGGUUGCGGGUUUUCUCCGUGGCGGCGCCGCUG
rnacentral:lncRNA from 1 species